AGAGUUUGAUCCUGGCUCAGAUUGAACGCUGGCGGAAUGCUUUACACAUGCAAGUCGAGCGGCAGCGCGGGCUUCGGCCUGGCGGCGAGCGGCGAACGGGUGAGUAAUACAUCGGAACGUGCCCAGGUGUGGGGGAUAACUCGGCGAAAGCCGAAUUAAUACCGCAUACGAUCUCCGGAUGAAAGUGGGGGACCGCAAGGCCUCACGCACUUGGAGCGGCCGAUGGCAGAUUAGGUUGUUGGUGGGGUAAAGGCCUACCAAGCCUGCGAUCUGUAGCUGGUCUGAGAGGAUGAUCAGCCACACUGGGACUGAGACACGGCCCAGACUCCUACGGGAGGCAGCAGUGGGGAAUUUUGGACAAUGGGCGCAAGCCUGAUCCAGCCAUUCCGCGUGCAGGACGAAGGCCCCCGGGUUGUAAACUGCUUUUGUACAGAACGAAAAGGCUUCGGCUAAUACCUGGAGCUCAUGACGGUACUGUAAGAAUAAGCACCGGCUAACUACGUGCCAGCAGCCGCGGUAAUACGUAGGGUGCGAGCGUUAAUCGGAAUUACUGGGCGUAAAGCGUGCGCAGGCGGUUUUGUAAGACCGAUGUGAAAUCCCCGGGCCUAACCUGGGAACUGCAUUGGUGACUGCAAGGCUUGAGUGCGGCAGAGGGGAAUGGAAUUCCGCGUGUAGCAGUGAAAUGCGUAGAUAUUGGGAAGAACACCGGUGGCGAAGGCGGCUUUCUGGACAGCAACUGACACUGAGGCACGAAAGCGUGGGGAGCAAACAGGAUUAGAUACCCUGGUAGUCCACGCCGUAAACGAUGAGCACUAGUUGUUGGGUCCGAAUGGAUUCAGUGACGCAGUUAACGCAAUAAGUGCUCCGCCUGGGGAGUACGGUGGCAACACUAAAACUCAAAGGAAUUGACGGGGACCCGCACAAGCAGCGGAGCAUGUGGUUUAAUUCGAAGCAACGCGAAAAACCUUACCAGGGCUUGACAUCCCUCUGAAGGAUCUCUUAACCGAGAUCCCCCUUCGGGCAGAGGUGACAGGUGGUGCAUGGUUGUCGUCAGCUCGUGUCGUGAGAUGUUGGGUUAAGUCCCGCAACGAGCGCAACCCUUGUCGUCAGUUACUAACAUUUGGUUGAGGACUCUGGCGAGACUGCCGAGGUUAACUCGGAGGAAGGUGGGGGUGACGUCAAAUCAUCAUGCCCCUUAUGUUCUGGGCUACACACGUGCUACAAUGGUCGGUACAAUGAGAAGCAAAGUCGCGAGGCGGAGCAAAUCACCAAAACCGAUCCCAGUUCGGAUUGCAGGCUGCAACUCGCCUGCAUGAAGUCGGAGUUGCUAGUAAUCGCGAAUCAGCAUGUCGCGGUGAAUGCGUUCCCGGGUCUUGUACACACCGCCCGUCACACCAUGGAAGUUGGGGGCGCCCAAAGUUGGCUAAUUAAUCUGCUACCUAAGGCGAAACCAAUGACUGGGGUGAAGUCGUAACAAGGUAACCGUA
rnacentral:rRNA from 1 species